AACGAACGCUGGCGGCAUGCCUAACACAUGCAAGUCGAACGAGACCUUCGGGUCUAGUGGCGUACGGGUGCGUAACGCGUGGGAACCUGCCCUUAGGUUCGGAAUAACUCCCCGACAGGGGUGCUAAUACCGGAUAAUGUCUUCGGACCAAAGAUUUAUUGCCUUUGGUUGGGCGCGCGUUGGAUUAGGUAGUUGGUAGGGUAAAAGCCUACUAAGGCGACGAUCCAUAGCUGGUCUGAGAGGAGGAUCAGCCACACUGGGAGUGAGACACGGCCGAGACUCCUACGGGAGGCAGCAGUGGGGGAUAUUGGACAAUGGGCGAAAGCAUGAUCCAGCAAUGCCGCGUGAGUGAUGAAAGCCUUAGAGUUGUAAAGCUCUUUUACCCGGGAUGAUAAUGACAGUACCGGGAGAAUAAGCCCCGGCUAACUCCGUG
rnacentral:rRNA from 1 species